rnacentral:rRNA from 1 species
UCAAGUGAAGAAGCGCAUACGGUGGAUGCCUUGGCAGUCAGAGGCGAUGAAAGACGUGGUAGCCUGCGAAAAGCUUCGGGGAGUCGGCAAACAGACUUUGAUCCGGAGAUCUCUGAAUGGGGGAACCCACCUAGGAUAACCUAGGUAUCUUGUACUGAAUCCAUAGGUGCAAGAGGCGAACCAGGGGAACUGAAACAUCUAAGUACCCUGAGGAAAAGAAAUCAACCGAGAUUCCCUUAGUAGUGGCGAGCGAACGGGGAUUAGCCCUUAAGCUUCAUUGAUUUUAGCGGAACGCUCUGGAAAGUGCGGCCAUAGUGGGUGAUAGCCCCGUACGCGAAAGGAUCUUUGAAGUGAAAUCGAGUAGGACGGAGCACGAGAAACUUUGUCUGAACAUGGGGGGACCAUCCUCCAAGGCUAAAUACUACUGACUGACCGAUAGUGAACCAGUACCGUGAGGGAAAGGCGAAAAGAACCCCGGAGAGGGGAGUGAAAUAGAACCUGAAACCGUAUGCGUACAAGCAGUGGGAGCCUACUUGUUAGGUGACUGCGUACCUUUUGUAUAAUGGGUCAGCGACUUAUAUUCAGUGGCAAGCUUAACCGUAUAGGGUAGGCGUAGCGAAAGCGAGUCUUAAUAGGGCGUUUAGUCGCUGGGUAUAGACCCGAAACCGGGCGAUCUAUCCAUGAGCAGGUUGAAGGUUAGGUAACACUGACUGGAGGACCGAACCCACUCCCGUUGAAAAGGUAGGGGAUGACUUGUGGAUCGGAGUGAAAGGCUAAUCAAGCUCGGAGAUAGCUGGUUCUCCUCGAAAGCUAUUUAGGUAGCGCCUCAUGUAUCACUCUGGGGGGUAGAGCACUGUUUCGGCUAGGGGGUCAUCCCGACUUACCAAACCGAUGCAAACUCCGAAUACCCAGAAGUGCCGAGCAUGGGAGACACACGGCGGGUGCUAACGUCCGUCGUGAAAAGGGAAACAACCCAGACCGCCAGCUAAGGUCCCAAAGUUGUGGUUAAGUGGUAAACGAUGUGGGAAGGCUUAGACAGCUAGGAGGUUGGCUUAGAAGCAGCCAUCCUUUAAAGAAAGCGUAAUAGCUCACUAGUCGAGUCGGCCUGCGCGGAAGAUGUAACGGGGCUCAAACCACACACCGAAGCUGCGGGUGUCACGUAAGUGACGCGGUAGAGGAGCGUUCUGUAAGCCUGUGAAGGUGAGUUGAGAAGCUUGCUGGAGGUAUCAGAAGUGCGAAUGCUGACAUGAGUAACGACAAUGGGUGUGAAAAACACCCACGCCGAAAGACCAAGGGUUCCUGCGCAACGUUAAUCGACGCAGGGUUAGUCGGUUCCUAAGGCGAGGCUGAAAAGCGUAGUCGAUGGGAAACAGGUUAAUAUUCCUGUACUUCUGGUUACUGCGAUGGAGGGACGGAGAAGGCUAGGCCAGCUUGGCGUUGGUUGUCCAAGUUUAAGGUGGUAGGCUGAAAUCUUAGGUAAAUCCGGGGUUUCAAGGCCGAGAGCUGAUGACGAGUCGUCUUUUAGAUGACGAAGUGGUUGAUGCCAUGCUUCCAAGAAAAGCUUCUAAGCUUCAGGUAACCAGGAACCGUACCCCAAACCGACACAGGUGGUCGGGUAGAGAAUACCAAGGCGCUUGAGAGAACUCGGGUGAAGGAACUAGGCAAAAUGGCACCGUAACUUCGGGAGAAGGUGCGCCGGCUAGGGUGAAGGAUUUACUCCGUAAGCUCUGGCUGGUCGAAGAUACCAGGCCGCUGCGACUGUUUAUUAAAAACACAGCACUCUGCAAACACGAAAGUGGACGUAUAGGGUGUGACGCCUGCCCGGUGCCGGAAGGUUAAUUGAUGGGGUUAGCGCAAGCGAAGCUCUUGAUCGAAGCCCCGGUAAACGGCGGCCGUAACUAUAACGGUCCUAAGGUAGCGAAAUUCCUUGUCGGGUAAGUUCCGACCUGCACGAAUGGCGUAACGAUGGCGGCGCUGUCUCCACCCGAGACUCAGUGAAAUUGAAAUCGCUGUGAAGAUGCAGUGUAUCCGCGGCUAGACGGAAAGACCCCGUGAACCUUUACUGUAGCUUUGCACUGGACUUUGAGCCUGCUUGUGUAGGAUAGGUGGGAGGCUUUGAAGCGUGGACGCCAGUUCGCGUGGAGCCAUCCUUGAAAUACCACCCUGGCAUGCUUGAGGUUCUAACUCUGGUCCGUAUCCGGAUCGAGGACAGUGUAUGGUGGGCAGUUUGACUGGGGCGGUCUCCUCCUAAAGAGUAACGGAGGAGUACGAAGGUGCGCUCAGACCGGUCGGAAAUCGGUCGCAGAGUAUAAAGGCAAAAGCGCGCUUGACUGCGAGACAGACACGUCGAGCAGGUACGAAAGUAGGUCUUAGUGAUCCGGUGGUUCUGUAUGGAAGGGCCAUCGCUCAACGGAUAAAAGGUACUCCGGGGAUAACAGGCUGAUACCGCCCAAGAGUUCAUAUCGACGGCGGUGUUUGGCACCUCGAUGUCGGCUCAUCACAUCCUGGGGCUGAAGCCGGUCCCAAGGGUAUGGCUGUUCGCCAUUUAAAGUGGUACGCGAGCUGGGUUUAGAACGUCGUGAGACAGUUCGGUCCCUAUCUGCCGUGGACGUUUGAGAUUUGAGAGGGGCUGCUCCUAGUACGAGAGGACCGGAGUGGACGAACCUCUGGUGUUCCGGUUGUCACGCCAGUGGCAUUGCCGGGUAGCUAUGUUCGGAAAAGAUAACCGCUGAAAGCAUCUAAGCGGGAAACUUGCCUCAAGAUGAGAUCUCACUGGGAACUUGAUUCCCCUGAAGGGCCGUCGAAGACUACGACGUUGAUAGGCUGGGUGUGUAAGCGUUGUGAGGCGUUGAGCUAACCAGUACUAAUUGCCCGUGAGGCUUGACC